rnacentral:rRNA from 1 species
GGGUUGUGAGGUUAAGCGACUAAGCGUACACGGUGGAUGCCCUGGCAGUCAGAGGCGAUGAAGGACGUGCUAAUCUGCGAUAAGCGUCGGUAAGGUGAUAUGAACCGUUAUAACCGGCGAUUUCCGAAUGGGGAAACCCAGUGUGUUUCGACACACUAUCAUUAACUGAAUCCAUAGGUUAAUGAGGCGAACCGGGGGAACUGAAACAUCUAAGUACCCCGAGGAAAAGAAAUCAACCGAGAUUCCCCCAGUAGCGGCGAGCGAACGGGGAGCAGCCCAGAGCCUGAAUCAGUGUGUGUGUUAGUGGAAGCGUCUGGAAAGGCGCGCGAUACAGGGUGACAGCCCCGUACACAAAAAUGCACAUGCUGUGAGCUCGAUGAGUAGGGCGGGACACGUGGUAUCCUGUCUGAAUAUGGGGGGACCAUCCUCCAAGGCUAAAUACUCCUGACUGACCGAUAGUGAACCAGUACCGUGAGGGAAAGGCGAAAAGAACCCCGGCGAGGGGAGUGAAAAAGAACCUGAAACCGUGUACGUACAAGCAGUGGGAGCACGCUUAGGCGUGUGACUGCGUACCUUUUGUAUAAUGGGUCAGCGACUUAUAUUCUGUAGCAAGGUUAACCGAAUAGGGGAGCCGAAGGGAAACCGAGUCUUAACUGGGCGUUAAGUUGCAGGGUAUAGACCCGAAACCCGGUGAUCUAGCCAUGGGCAGGUUGAAGGUUGGGUAACACUAACUGGAGGACCGAACCGACUAAUGUUGAAAAAUUAGCGGAUGACUUGUGGCUGGGGGUGAAAGGCCAAUCAAACCGGGAGAUAGCUGGUUCUCCCCGAAAGCUAUUUAGGUAGCGCCUCGUGAAUUCAUCUCCGGGGGUAGAGCACUGUUUCGGCAAGGGGGUCAUCCCGACUUACCAACCCGAUGCAAACUGCGAAUACCGGAGAAUGUUAUCACGGGAGACACACGGCGGGUGCUAACGUCCGUCGUGAAGAGGGAAACAACCCAGACCGCCAGCUAAGGUCCCAAAGUCAUGGUUAAGUGGGAAACGAUGUGGGAAGGCCCAGACAGCCAGGAUGUUGGCUUAGAAGCAGCCAUCAUUUAAAGAAAGCGUAAUAGCUCACUGGUCGAGUCGGCCUGCGCGGAAGAUGUAACGGGGCUAAACCAUGCACCGAAGCUGCGGCAGCGACGCUUAUGCGUUGUUGGGUAGGGGAGCGUUCUGUAAGCCUGUGAAGGUGUGCUGUGAGGCAUGCUGGAGGUAUCAGAAGUGCGAAUGCUGACAUAAGUAACGAUAAAGCGGGUGAAAAGCCCGCUCGCCGGAAGACCAAGGGUUCCUGUCCAACGUUAAUCGGGGCAGGGUGAGUCGACCCCUAAGGCGAGGCCGAAAGGCGUAGUCGAUGGGAAACAGGUUAAUAUUCCUGUACUUGGUGUUACUGCGAAGGGGGGACGGAGAAGGCUAUGUUGGCCGGGCGACGGUUGUCCCGGUUUAAGCGUGUAGGCUGGUUUUCCAGGCAAAUCCGGAAAAUCAAGGCUGAGGCGUGAUGACGAGGCACUACGGUGCUGAAGCAACAAAUGCCCUGCUUCCAGGAAAAGCCUCUAAGCAUCAGGUAACAUCAAAUCGUACCCCAAACCGACACAGGUGGUCAGGUAGAGAAUACCAAGGCGCUUGAGAGAACUCGGGUGAAGGAACUAGGCAAAAUGGUGCCGUAACUUCGGGAGAAGGCACGCUGAUAUGUAGGUGAAGCGACUUGCUCGUGGAGCUGAAAUCAGUCGAAGAUACCAGCUGGCUGCAACUGUUUAUUAAAAACACAGCACUGUGCAAACACGAAAGUGGACGUAUACGGUGUGACGCCUGCCCGGUGCCGGAAGGUUAAUUGAUGGGGUUAGCGGUAACGCGAAGCUCUUGAUCGAAGCCCCGGUAAACGGCGGCCGUAACUAUAACGGUCCUAAGGUAGCGAAAUUCCUUGUCGGGUAAGUUCCGACCUGCACGAAUGGCGUAAUGAUGGCCAGGCUGUCUCCACCCGAGACUCAGUGAAAUUGAACUCGCUGUGAAGAUGCAGUGUACCCGCGGCAAGACGGAAAGACCCCGUGAACCUUUACUAUAGCUUGACACUGAACAUUGAGCCUUGAUGUGUAGGAUAGGUGGGAGGCUUAGAAGUGUGGACGCCAGUCUGCAUGGAGCCGACCUUGAAAUACCACCCUUUAAUGUUUGAUGUUCUAACGUUGACCCGUAAUCCGGGUUGCGGACAGUGUCUGGUGGGUAGUUUGACUGGGGCGGUCUCCUCCUAAAGAGUAACGGAGGAGCACGAAGGUUGGCUAAUCCUGGUCGGACAUCAGGAGGUUAGUGCAAUGGCAUAAGCCAGCUUGACUGCGAGCGUGACGGCGCGAGCAGGUGCGAAAGCAGGUCAUAGUGAUCCGGUGGUUCUGAAUGGAAGGGCCAUCGCUCAACGGAUAAAAGGUACUCCGGGGAUAACAGGCUGAUACCGCCCAAGAGUUCAUAUCGACGGCGGUGUUUGGCACCUCGAUGUCGGCUCAUCACAUCCUGGGGCUGAAGUAGGUCCCAAGGGUAUGGCUGUUCGCCAUUUAAAGUGGUACGCGAGCUGGGUUUAGAACGUCGUGAGACAGUUCGGUCCCUAUCUGCCGUGGGCGCUGGAGAACUGAGGGGGGCUGCUCCUAGUACGAGAGGACCGGAGUGGACGCAUCACUGGUGUUCGGGUUGUCAUGCCAAUGGCACUGCCCGGUAGCUAAAUGCGGAAGAGAUAAGUGCUGAAAGCAUCUAAGCACGAAACUUGCCCCGAGAUGAGUUCUCCCUGACUCCUUGAGAGUCCUGAAGGAACGUUGAAGACGACGACGUUGAUAGGCCGGGUGUGUAAGCGCAGCGAUGCGUUGAGCUAACCGGUACUAAUGAACCGUGAGGCUUAACCUUACAACGCCGAAGGUGUUU